rnacentral:rRNA from 1 species
AGUUUGAUCCUGGUCCAGAGUGAACGCUGGCGGUAGGCCUAACACAUGCAAGUCGAACGGCAGCACAGGAGAGCUUGCUCUCUGGGUGGCGAGUGGCGGACGGGUGAGGAAUACAUCGGAAUCUACCUUUUCGUGGGGGAUAACGUAGGGAAACUUACGCUAAUACCGCAUACGACCUACGGGUGAAAGUGGGGGACCGCAAGGCCUCACGCGAUUAGAUGAGCCGAUGUCCGAUUAGCUAGUUGGCGGGGUAAUGGCCCACCAAGGCGACGAUCGGUAGCUGGUCUGAGAGGAUGAUCAGCCACACUGAAACUGA